rnacentral:tRNA from 1 species
AUUCAAAUAGCUUAAAAAGAGCACAGUAGUGAAGUUACUGGGGUAAUAAAUUUAUUUUUGAAUA